rnacentral:rRNA from 1 species
AUUGAACGCUGGCGGCAGGCCUAACACAUGCAAGUCGAGCGGAUGAAGGGAGCUUGCUCCUGGAUUCAGCGGCGGACGGGUGAGUAAUGCCUAGGAAUCUGCCUGGUAGUGGGGGAUAACGUCCGGAAACGGGCGCUAAUACCGCAUAUGUCCUGAGGGAGAAAGUGGGGGAUCUUCGGACCUCACGCUAUCAGAUGAGCCUAGGUCGGAUUAGCUAGUUGGUGGGGUAAAGGCCUACCAAGGCGACGAUCCGUAACUGGUCUGAGGGGAUGAUCAGUCACACUGGAACUGAGACACGGUCCAGACUCCUACGGGAGGCAGCAGUGGGGAAUAUUGGACAAUGGGCGAAAGCCUGAUCCAGCCAUGCCGCGUGUGUGAAGAAGGUCUUCGGAUUGUAAAGCACUUUAAGUUGGGAGGAAGGGCAGUAAGUUAAUACCUUGCUGUUUUGACGUUACCAACAGAAUAAGCACCGGCUAACUUCGUG